rnacentral:misc_RNA from 1 species
GAAGUACUUGAAGAAGAUAAUUGAGGAGCAACAACGACUCAGUGGAACCCUGGGAGAGGUGCCUAGUGCAGAGGUCUCUGCCCCAGUAUUAGGUGAUAAUUGCCCAGAAUCUGACAAGAAGACUGACCCAGCAACCCUUGCUCCAACUUCAGAGUCCCCCGUUCAAGACAAGGCUGUCAAGGAGUGUGCCCCAGCCAAAAGCAUUUCUAUUGAUGAAUCAUUCUCAU